rnacentral:rRNA from 1 species
GUCUACAGCCAUUUCACCCUUAACGUGCCCGAUCUCGUCUGAUCUCUGAAGCUAAACAGGGUCGGGCCUGGUUAGUACUUGGAUGGGAGACCACAUAGGAAGACCAGGUGCUGUAGGCG